GACGAACGCUGGCGGCGUGCCUAAUACAUGCAAGUAGAACGCUGAAGGCGGAGCUUGCUUCUCUGGAUGAGUUGCGAACGGGUGAGUAACGCGUAGGUAACCUGCCUGGUAGCGGGGGAUAACUAUUGGAAACGAUAGCUAAUACCGCAUAAUAGUAGAUGUUGCAUGACAUUUGCUUAAAAGUUGCAAUUGCAUCACUAUCAGAUGGACCUGCGUUGUAUUAGCUAGUUUGUGGGGUAACGGCUCACCAAGGCGACGAUACAUAGCCGACCUGAGAGGGUGAUCGGCCACACUGGGACUGAGACACGGCCCAGACUCCUACGGGAGGCAGCAGUAGGGAAUCUUCGGCAAUGGACGGAAGUCGGACCGAGCAACGCCGCGUGAGUGAAGAAGGUUGUCGGAUCGUAAAGCUCUGUUGUAAGAGAAGAACGAGUGUGAGAGUGGAAAGUUCACACUGUGACGGUAUCUUACCAGAAAGAGACGGCUAACUACGUG
rnacentral:rRNA from 1 species